CUCAAUGAGUCUUCCUCAUAGUGGUUUUACAUCGAGGAUGUUCCCUAUUCGAUCCAGUUCUGAGGGACCUUCCUGAAUACUCCGUGGAUCUUUUAAAGAAGCGAUUUAGCAGGAGGCCGAAGAGUCUCUCCAUCUACUUUAAAGAAGCGAUCCAGUUCGGAGUAGUAGAAGAAGAAGAAAAAGAAGAGGAAGAGGAAGACCUUUGCACGUCUCAGACAUCUUUGAGCCUCCGGUGCGCCCGAGCAGCGGCAGGCUAGGACCCAUGCCGCGUUGCUCACUCCAUCUCUCUUACUCCCUGUUCAUUUUCUGUAUCUCUCUUCCCCUCAUCCCUCUCUGUUCGCUCUAUAGGAACCUGUAGGAUCACACAUGGAAGCCCAAGCUCCUGCACGUCGUGCUCGCCUCCGGUCCCCUCCCCCCUCCCCCUCGUGUCUUCUUCUCUAGGAGGUAUGCAUCGCCCGAAGCCGCCUCGGACACCAAGGCCCGAGCUCUGCCCGCCGGCAAGCCCUGCCGUGCCAUCCAUCUUCCCGGUUGUUCAUGGAGCCAUGAAGCUCGCCUGACGCGAGGGGCUCCCGUCGCCAUGGAGUGCGGCAGGUGCUCACCCCUUCCUCACCUCUAUCCCCGGCCCCAUCCCCGUCAUUCUCGAACAGCAGGUCCCAAGUGUCACCCUCUUUGCCAGCCUCCAUCGCGUACCUCUCAAUCACCCAGGCCGCUGGUCUCUGAUCCCUGAUAGUUUAAUGCUCUCAAUUCGGCCUAUGUGUACCUUGGAGCCAGCGAGCCGGCCUUAAAGAAGUGGUCGGGCAAGUGUCUACCCACGUGUAGCGUUUGAAGCAAGAAAACGAGAGUUUAUCCAAACAUCGCCAUGAGAGCCAGGCUGAUUUAGAGGCUAGCAGGGCCGAGCUGGAAGAUGUGAAGAAAUUUACCAAAGAAGCCCAUGCAGGAGAAUCAAUAGACCAAAUGCAAAAAGAUCUGGAUGCCUCUCGAGAAGCCGAGCGAUAUGCCAAAUCACAGCUUGAAGCCUGUCAACACGUACUGAAGCGAUGUCGUGAAGAAGACAACAAUCUCAAGGAAGAGAAUAAAAAACAAGUUGAGGAAGUGGAGAGUUUGAAAACUCAAUUGGCGCAAACUCGAGAAGAGAACCCAAAAUUGAAAGGCGGCAUGUUCUAUAAGCAAAGCUCUCACCUGGAACUGAUCCAAUUUUUAGUGUGUUGAUCGUGAUUUUUUUCCUCCAUUGAAUUAGAUCUUUUGACUGGACGCCCUAAGGAGGAGGCCACUUCCUUUGGGGGGACCCGUUGAAGGAACUAUCCAUAGUGCAUGAGCAUGCGUGGAAGGCUAUGUGGAGUAUGGUCCGAGCUUUAUGACCGAACCAAAACCCUCCACAAGGGAUGGCCGAUCUUGCCAAGCUAUUUGCAGGAGCCCGCAGUCGCUUCGAAUGUUGGAAGACCUCGGCCUAUCGAGAAGGAGAUCAGGAGGCGUGGGCCAUUGUGCAGACCCACUUUACUCGCAUAGAUCCUGAGCACAUAGCCCAAGUUGGACUAGUGGGGCCAGAUGGGAAGGAGAUUCCUCUACAUCUGGUGUAUGAUCAAGUGAUGUCUGCCACGCGCUUCUCUUAGGAGGACUGCAUGUUACAUCCUAUAAUAGAUCAACUAUAUCAGUCACCCAGCAGGUAAUUGCAUGUAAUUA